UACGAAGGGGGCUAGCGUUGUUCGGAAUCACUGGGCGUAAAGGGCGCGUAGGCGGUUUGAUAAGUUAGGAGUGAAAUGCCGGGGCUUAACCUCGGAACUGCUCUUAAAACUGUCUGACUUGAAUCCGGGAGAGGAUGGUGGAAUUCCUAGUGUAGAGGUGAAAUUCGUAGAUAUUAGGAGGAACACCGGUGGCGAAGGCGGCCAUCUGGACCGGUAUUGACGCUGAGGCGCGAAAGCGUGGGGAGCAAACAGG
rnacentral:rRNA from 1 species